rnacentral:rRNA from 1 species
AGGGUUCGAUUCUGGCUCAGGAUGAACGCUAGCUACAGGCUUAACACAUGCAAGUCGAGGGGCAGCAUUGGAGUAGCAAUACUCAGAUGGCGACCGGCGCACGGGUGAGUAACACGUAUCCAACCUGCCGCUUACUCGGGGAUAGCCUUUCGAAAGAAAGAUUAAUACCCGAUGGUAUAAAGAGUUCGCAUGUUCUCUUUAUUAAAGAAUUUCGGUAAGCGAUGGGGAUGCGUUCCAUUAGAUAGUUGGCGGGGUAACGGCCCACCAAGUCUACGAUGGAUAGGGGUUCUGAGAGGAAGGUCCCCCACAUUGGAACUGAGACACGGUCCAAACUCCUACGGGAGGCAGCAGUGAGGAAUAUUGGUCAAUGGACGAGAGUCUGAACCAGCCAAAGUAGCGUGAAGGAUGACUGCCCUAUGGGUUGUAAACUUCUUUUAUAAGGGAAUAAAGUGAGGGACGUGUCCCUUUUUGUAUGUACCUUAUGAAUAAGGAUCGGCUAACUCCGUGCCAGCCGCCGC